rnacentral:tRNA from 1 species
GGACGCCUGUUGGUAGGCAGAACAGCUCGCGAAUUAUCAAUAUGCCAACUACACUCGUAGACGCUUAAGUGGCGAUAUUUCUGGACGUGGGUUCGACUCCCACCGUCUCCACCA